rnacentral:rRNA from 1 species
UACGUAGGGUGCAAGCGUUUGUCCGGAAUUAUUGGGCGAAAGAGCUCGUAGGCGGUUUGUUGCGUCGGCUGUGAAAUCCCGAGGCUCAACCUCGGGUCUGCAGUCGAUACGAGCAAACUAGAGUGUUGCAGGGGAGACUGGAAUCCUGGUGUAGCGGUGAAAUGACGCAGAUAUCAGGAGGAACACCGAUGGCGAAGGCAGGUCUCUGG